AAUCAACGCUGGCGGCGCGCUCAACACAUGCAAGUCGAACGAGAAAGUGGAGCAAUCCAUGAGUAAAGUGGCGCACUGGUGAGUAACACGUGGGUAUCCACCUCUUUGUGGGGAAUAACAUUGGGAAACCGAUGCUAAUACCGCAUACGUCCGAGAGGAGAAAGCCGAAAGGCGCAGGGAGAGGAGCCCGCGCCCGAUUAGCUAGUUGGUAAGGUAAUGGCUUACCAAGGCGACGAUCGGUAGCCGGCCUGAGAGGGCACACGGCCACACUGGCACUGAGACACGGGCCAGACUCCUACGGGAGGCAGCAGUGUGGAAUCUUGCACAAUGGGGGAAACCUUGAUGCAGCGACGCCGCGGGAGUGAUGAAGCCCUUCGGGGUGUAAAGCUCUUUCGACAGGGACGAUAAUGACGGUACCUGAAGAAGAAUCUGCGGCUAACUACGUGCCAGCCGCCGCAGUAAAAC
rnacentral:rRNA from 1 species